GAUUUUUUUAAAGUAAUUUUUGCUAAUUAAUAGUGGUAUUUUCUUUCUUUUCCAAUUCUUAGCAUGUAGCGUCCAACGUUACUUAAUUAUGUAAGAGAAUUGAAAAAAAUUAAGGAGAGAAAAUCAAGAGAAAAGGAAAGAAAAAUUUUCUUUAUAGUAUUUAGAUAAAUGAAUAAUUUGAAAUAAAAAUUAAAUCUCUUUCUUAAAACAACAAUAGCAAUCGAAGGGUUUUAUAUCUAUUUUCCUCCUUUUUCAAUGGAAUUAUUUUGGGACAUUAUUGAAAUCAAUUGGAAAAUGCAAUUUCCACUCUUUUCCUCUCAAUUUUUUCUCAUUUCUGAAAAUUUUCUUUUCUUUUCCUUCCUUUUCUCUGAAUUUGCGUUUGAGCUCGCAGCCAUGGACAAUAAGGUUUAAAACUCGUUUCGGCGCAUAUGGAGCCGAACUCGUUAGUUGCUUCGAGAAUGGCUGCUGCUCUCGCAAGCACCGAUGAUCGAACACUUUUUCCCCCUCAUCUUAUGAAAAAAGAAAACAAUUAAGUCCAUUUUUACCAAUUUUCUGUUAAUUUUCAGUCAGCUAUUGCUGGACUUGAAAAUUAUGGGAGGGAGGGUCUAUCGACAAAAGAAGAGCAGUCCAAGAACACAAGACGUAAAACCCAGCAAACAAAGGCUUGAGAAUGCUAGGAAAGCCCCAAGAAAUUUUCUUGAGCUGUUAAAUGAGGUUAGCGUGGAAAUGCUGUCGUUCUCUAUUUUAUUUUAGUCUAUUUAGCUGGUCAAGAUAUUCAUUCCACAGAAGCAGGCAAAUUUGAAAUCUUUGCCUUUAUAUGUUCCAUCCCUUUGAAGGCAGCAUCAGGACCUUGAAGCUCUACAUGUUACUGGCAUCUCUGCAGAGUUUGUGGAUUUGCUUCCUAUACAUGUGUUACAUGUACGAUGUGCUAUUGUUCAAUCCAUUGCCAAACAAGACAUGAUGAUUGUCUGAAAUUUGUUGCCUGAUUGACGAGUUUGUAUAUACAACUUGAGCCUGUACAUACCCUGUACAUACUGCACUAGGUUGGACAAGUCAGUUAAAUAUCAAAUGCAUACUUGUAACCUGUAAAAGCAAUUGGACCCUUAUUUAUCUGCACAUUGAUCUUAAUUCAAUUGGUGAAUCUAAAGGGUUAUAGCUGUCCUUUGAGUUAA